GUGGAGAUCCCAUCUCUUAGGUUUUCCAUUGUGUCUCCAGCAUCCAACACAGAGUCUGACACACAGCUGAUACCCAGCGGACAUAUUUGUGAAAUAAGUUAAGAAGCACAAUGAUCAGCCUGCUCAUCUACACUUUUUAAAAUCUUGCUUUGUUUGGUGGUAUUCAUAGAUACAGUCACAGGCAUACCUGCAAUGGAUUCAGGGCAAAAAUCCUUUGGUAAUCUAGGCAGCUUUGUUCCCACUGAGAAAAUUAUAAACUUGAACAAAAGCUGAGGUUUGAGAAACGAGGACAAACACUGCUUUUGCACAGUCAAUAGAGAUUUUCACAGCAUGUUCUCACCUUUUUUCCCCCCCUUUAAAAAAUUAGUUCUCUGCUAUCGCCCAAGUAGGAGGUGUGCAACCGAGAAGAACAAUGAGGAACUGGGCAGGGGGCCACGAUGAAGUCUUGUUCUGUCACCCACGCUGGAAUGCAGUGGUGCAAUCUCAGCUGACUGCAACCUCCGCCUCCUGAGUUCAAGUGAUUCCCCUGCCUCAGCCUCCUGGGUAGCUGGAAGUAUAGGACAUGCCACUAUGCCCGGCUAAUUUGUUUGUAUUUUUAGUGGAGGUCGGGUUUCACCAUGUUGGCUAGACUGGUCCGGAAUUCCUGGUGUCAAGUGAUCCACCUGCCUCAGCUUCCCAAAGUGCUCCAAUUACAGGAGCUGUGGCUCGUGCCUGAAUUCCAGCACUUCAGGAGACCGAAGCAGGAGGAACACUUAGCCCAGAACCUUAAGGCCAGCCUGGGCAACAUAGCAAGACUCAAUCUCAACAAAACAUUGUAAUAAAUUAGCCUGGCAUAGUGGCACAUGCCCAUAGUCCCAACUGCGCAGAAGGCUGAGGAAGCAGGAUCAGUUGAGACCAGGAGUUCAAGGUGACAGUGAGCCACGAUCACACGACUGCACUCCAGUCUAGGUGACAGAGGGAGACCCUGUCUCUAAAAAGAUUUUUGAAGACCCCAUUUCCCCCAACUAGUUUUCAGUAUUUGGAAAUCCUGGCACUGAGGGUCAGGCCUUGAAAACUUCUCUGGACCCC
rnacentral:lncRNA from 13 species